UAGGUAAUAUACACAUUAAUAACUUUUGAUUAUAACUGUCAAUGAGAGUUUAACCCAAGAAUUCCAAAUAGCCUCAACAAAAUAGCCUAUGCAAAAUGGCCUCUUCCUUACAAUAUAAGGAAUACUUGUCUUUUUCUGGAAUUUAUGUGUAAUACAUUAUACUCUUAACUGAUAUUUGAUUCUUCCUGGUCUUCAUACACAUACAUAUAUCCUCUCUCCACUCUUCAAGCCAAAUGUAUCUUCCUAAAACAGAUCUAAUUAUUCCAUUUCCUCAUUUAAAAAUGUUCACUGACUUUCAAUUACUUAGCACUCAGAGAUGCCCAUUAAAAAUUUCAAUUGAGCCUUUAAAACUAUACCAUUACCUUAAAAAAAAAAAACAAAACUGGACUCCAUCCUCAACAAUUAUAUUUUAAUUAGUCAAUUUGAUACAUUCGUCUUGUGUUCCAGCCAUGCCAGUCUGUUACCAACAGGGUUUUUUUGUUUUUGUUUUUGUUUUGGGGAGUGGUUUUUUUGUUUGUUUUGUUUUGCCCAGAUUUCCCUCUUUGUGCAACAAUUCCAUGAUUUAUUAACAUUUCAAAACUCAGUCAAAUAUCAUUUCUAUAAAGUUGUCUUGAGUCUUUCAGAGUGAUUUAAAUGCUCUUAAGAGUUCACUACCAUUUUGUGUACCUCAGAGUUACAGUAGUAUGUUGUUCUAUGGUGCUGACUCUUGUGCAAGUCUGGGAGGCACUUUGAGGUGGGGCAGUAGGGCUUGUUGACUUGAGAGUUAAGUGACAUACUUUGUCUUCCAUGCCACCAUGGAUCUCUAUUAUUCUUUGGUUACAUUGCUGAAUGGCUUUGUGCUCAUGACAUCAUCACUUUCUCACAUCUGUUCUCAUGAUGUUUCCAUCUUCAUUUCUUUUCAUCAUUUUUAAAUUUGCUACCUUUUUCCUACUUUUUUCAGAUCUUGUUCUUUAUUGACUAUAACAUAGAAGAAGUGCAUUCUGUAUAUCUUAAGAACAAUACUUUUGUUUGCUCUUCUAAUUUUAAAAUU
rnacentral:lncRNA from 1 species